CAAGUCGAACGAACCUUUCGGGGUUAGUGGCGGACGGGUGAGUAACGCGUGAGAAUCUGCCCUCAGGAGGGGGAUAACGACUGGAAACGGUCGCUAAUACCCCAUAUGCCGAGAGGUGAAAUGAAUUUCGCCUGAGGAUGAGCUCGCGUCUGAUUAGCUAGUUGGUGGGGUAAAGGCCUACCAAGGCGACGAUCAGUAGCUGGUCUGAGAGGAUGAUCAGCCACACUGGGACUGAGACACGGCCCAGACUCCUACGGGAGGCAGCAGUGGGGAAUUUUCCGCAAUGGGCGAAAGCCUGACGGAGCAACGCCGCGUGAGGGAUGAAGGCCUCUGGGCUGUAAACCUCUUUUAUCAAGGAAGAAGAUCUGACGGUACUUGAUGAAUAAGCCACGGCUAAUUCCGUGCCAGCAGCCGCGGUAAUACGGGAGUGGCAAGCGUUAUCCGGAAUUAUUGGGCGUAAAGCGUCCGCAGGCGGCCUGAUAAGUCUGUUGUCAAAGCGUGGAGCUUAACUCCAUUUCGGCAAUGGAAACUGUGAGGCUUGAGUGUGGUAGGGGCAGAGGGAAUUCCCGGUGUAGCGGUGAAAUGCGUAGAUAUCGGGAAGAACACCAGUGGCGAAGGCGCUCUGCUGGGCCAUAACUGACGCUCAUGGACGAAAGCCAGGGGAGCGAAAGGGAUUAGAUACCCCUGUAGUCCUGGCCGUAAACGAUGAACACUAGGUGUCGGGGGAAUCGACCCCCUCGGUGUCGUAGCCAACGCGUUAAGUGUUCCGCCUGGGGAGUACGCACGCAAGUGUGAAACUCAAAGGAAUUGACGG
rnacentral:rRNA from 1 species